GUGGGACCCGCGGCACAACAGCGUCCGUCCACCAUCGCCUUUGUUGUUCAAAAUGGCGUUUACAGACAGCCCAGCUCCGACAGUGUGACAGAGAUUAUUCCCUACCAUUACCCAGCUUUAAUUCGCCGAGGUUGGGGAUGAGAUAAAGUCUCUUGGGCCAAGUGUGUGGCAUGGCAGAUGAUAUAUCUAAAGUGUGGUGAUUGAGUACUAGCCACCACCAUGGCAGACACAGUCCCCACACAGUGUUCUAAAGAUGAUGGUGAACCUGGCCCAGCUCUUGCCACAGCAGCACCUGUGGACCAAGCCACACCAGGAGGAUCUCAGGCACUGGAGACACAAACCUCUUCUAAACCUCCUCCAAAGAUGUCUCUUGAAGUACCUGUGGUUUGCAUCACACCCCCUUCCCCUACCCCUGGUGAUUCUCAGGAUAAACCACCUGCAGAGAGUUCUCCUGAGAAGCCAAAUAAAGUGGAUGGAGACCCCUUGCAAUACUUAUCAUGUGAGGUGCCAAAAACGUCCACCAAAUAUCCUGCUGCUGCAAAGGAAAGUUCUUUAGGCGUGGUGCCGGCUAUAAUUCUCGAUCCUCUUAAGCAUAAUCAGGAGCCCACAGUAUUAGGGGACAGUGAAGAAUCAAGAAAGGAAGAUAAGGAGCAAAUAAAUGUACAAAUUAAAAGUCCUUUAGAUAAUUGUCCUGCAAACCACCCACUUACUGAUACAGAGAGAUCUGUAGGGAAGUCAGACACAAGAGCAGAGAUAUCCACAGAAAAAGCUGCUUCCUUUGAGUCUGUGUCAGAUAGUAUAACAGCAUGUAAUGAAAGUUCCACAGAAAAACUGACCAGUGAUUCAGUAGCUUCAUUAAAGACUUCAGACGUAGUAGGAAAUACUACAGUGGAAAGUAUUCCCAAUAGUGCUUCAUUAACAGAAAACAAUACAGAUCAUGGGGCUGAAUUGUCAGAAAAUAACACCAAGAAUAUCUCCCCAUCAAGUAAAGUUCAGACAACGCCUGUUACAUCUUCUUUCUCAAGUUCAGUUGCUGAAGAAAAUGUCCAGGGGUUGGUCAGCUCAUCGUCUCAGGAACAGGUGCAGGCACCGGUAUCUGAGAACAGAGCCUCUAAGGUACCUUUAGUUGUGACUGACAGGUCAUCAUCACUGCCAACAGUAUUCUCAGACCAGCAGUCAUCAAAAGUUCCAGCUGCAGCCAAUCAAUCUUCAGGCUCUCCUCUGUCAUGUCCAAGUGCACUUGCAGACACUUUACAGUCAGUUUCUUCUAAAGAAGAGUCAGACUCUUCAGCAGUUUCUGACUGUAUUGUAUCACAGAAAGCUCAUUCGUCAAGAACAGUUCAGAAUUCAUCAAGUGAGUGUGGUGUCGAAGUUGAGCAGAGUGAAGUAUCAAGUGAAAGAAGUAAAGAAAAGACAGCUGAUAGUAUGCCUGAUUCCAUAUCUGUAACAGAAAAGUUGAAGGAACCUCUAGAAAGUGAGGAUGUAGCUAAAGCGAGCAAGUUGACCAUUAAGAAAGUGGACGAAAUUAAUGACGGCCACGAGGUGAAUACUGCAGAAUCACCCAAGGUGUGGAGUGAACAGGAUGUAACUCCUGAAGUGCCAGUGGAGACCAUUCCAGUGAUUGUCAAUACAGAGGACAGGGAACAGGAGAAAGUUGGUAAAAUCAGUGAAGUACAAGGUAACUUUGUAUCUCCUGUAAUACCAUCCUCUCACAGUAGUGCCAUUGCUAGUCCAGACAAUGUCUCAUCAGUGGAUGCUGAACAAUUACAACCUGUUACAAUAGGCAGCAGUUUACAGCCUCUAGAGGAGGUUCAGGAAGCUUCUGUGUCAGGUGAUCCGUCCUUUGCUGCAGCUGAUCUGGCACUGAUUGACAGCAGUGCAGAUGAAGCUGACAGUAUUGGUGGUCUGGUGAUCAACAGUGUUAUAGGUGCAGCUGAUGGGGUUGCAGACUUCCAUCCUGAUGAAAUGGAAACUGAUCGUGAGCUGACUGAUAUUAGUGCAUCAGCUCCACAUACUGUGGGAGAAAAUUGUGACAAUGCUGAUUCUAGUGAUGAGAUUGAACCCAGUGCCAAGCGAAUGAGAUUUGAGAAUGGAGCAGAUGACAUAGAGGAUAAAUUACAAACUUCUAGAAAUGUAAAUAUUAAGGUUUCCCCAAUAAAAAAUGGCCAUGGCUUGUGGGACGCAUGCAAGCUACGCCAGAUCUUGCUGGAGAAAGGAACCAUCAUCUUGAGGCUUCAUGCGUCUGUAGAUCACAUGGAAAUGAAUGAUUCAGAUAAAGAAAAUAAGGAUGUGGACUUCACGGGCAUCAUGGUCGAAAUAAAAGAUGAGGAUCAAGACCACAUACUGGGUCUUGCGUCACUGGAGCCAGAUGCUGACUUGUGUGACCCCCUUGCCAUUGGAUUGACACACAACCUGGAUCACACAUCGCCACCCCACUACAGCCGGGGGUACCCCCACCACUCUCGGGGCCGCUCCACAACACUACAGCCAGCUAUGACCAGACCAGUUUUCAAGCAUCUGCAGUCUCCACCUCAUUCACAGCACUAUAUGAAGCAAGACCUUCUGGGCCACCCGCAACCUUUGGAGUUUGAGGAGCCGCAACUGGGAACAACAGACUGGGCAGGCAUGGUUACCCACAUCGCGGAGUCUCCUGAGCCCCAGAAUUCUUCGAGCCUACUCAUGGAGGAGACUGCCUCAUCCUUGUCACCCAGAAUGGAACAGGUUCGAAGGAGGGUGAGGAAUGUCGGUCGUGUGAUUAGAAUGAAGAAGGUAUGUGAACAUUGUGGUAUGGCAUUUAACAAGUCCCACAAAUAUAUGCAGCAUCUGCGCACACAUAGGCCUCUACAGCAGUGUGAUAAAUGCAACUUCAAAACUAAAGAUCUGAAAAGAUUUAGGAACCAUCAGAUAUCCCACAAAAAGGAAAACCCAGAAGUGAAAUGCAAUCUAUGCAAUGAGCUGUUUGCCACAACCACCACACGGAGGAUACACAAGAAGAAGAUUCAUAAGGUCUUUGAAUGUAAGUACUGCUGUAAUGACUAUAAGCUUGAGGAAGAGAUGAUCAGUCACAUGACAGAGAACCAUGGCCACAUUAGAGAUAGGCCUGGUUAUCUCACUGCAAGGGAAAUGAAGAAUGUCAAGCCCGUCAACAUUUUUGUGGACCCCCCAUCUCCAGGAGGGAAAAGUCAGUUUGUGUGUCGACUCUGCAACAAAGAAACAAGGAACAAGUACCAGCUAAAAAUACAUAUUGCUCAACAUUUAGGGGUCUCUAGCAGCAAGAUCAGUGAUGAUUUUCUAGUUACACAAGAUGUCGAGCAAUUCAAUAGAGAUGGUGGUUCUGUCUCCUCUUUUGGCAGUGAUGAUAACACUGCUGAUGGUCCAAAGCCUGGGCAUUCAGAUUAUUUAUUUCCUCAGUAUAUGUCUGUGAAAAGAGAACCUGGAAGUGCUCUUGAAGAUGGUUUUGAGCAUAGAGGAACAAGUGCAGAUACUCCAAGUUUUGUCUCCAUGAGGUCUGAAACUUCGAGUAUAUCAUCUGUCACGUAUAACUCUGACACAUCUCCAGCAGCAACCAUGCAAGAUCUAUUUCCAUUGACAACAAACAGAGCUGAAGAAAUUGAUAUUGAUGAUACCCCACUUCUUCAGAAACUCUGGCUUAAAGAGGAACCAGAGUCUUGGAGUGAUAGCCAAAACACUUUAUUGAAUGAUAGUUCUGGUGUUAGAUGUGGUGUUUGUGAUAUUCAUUUCCUGGAUAUAGAAGAAUUGCAUAACCAUGUUCUUACAUCACACAAUAAAUUAAUUUACAGAUGUGGUCAAUGUGAACAAAUUUUCCCAAAAGCAGAAGACUUGUUUAAGCAUACAUUAACAGAACAUGGCAAAGCUGCCUGUAGAACAAAACCAGAAAAUUUGGUAAAACCAUCACAACUAGAGCUCAGUAAAAUACAUACAGUUCUUCCUGAAAAUAAACACACGCUACCAGCUUUUUACUGUGAAAUUUGUAGAGAAUCGUUUAAGAGUGCUAAAAGGCUGCGGAAUCAUGAGAAAGUAAAGCACCGGAAAGUUUUCACUUGCCAAGCAUGUAAUGUGACACACUACCAGAGCACAAAAAUGAUUAGACACCAAAAACAAUGUCAUAAAGACAUGUUUCGAUGUCGAUACUUCUGCAUGGCUCUCUUUGAAACAGAGGCAGAACGUUCAGUUCAUCAUUUGAAAGUUCAUAAUAAGGAUGAUACCAAGGUAACUUGUCCAUACUGUAAAGUAGAAUAUCAGUAUGAAGGAAAUUUAAUGAACCAUCUCGACAAGUGCAAAAAUUGCCCACCAGAUAAAAGGCCUGCCCAUGUUUGUGGGAACUGCAAUAUUAUGUUUCCUAGCAUUGAACACUAUAAUGUUCACAUCAAAAACUGUAGACCAUGCAAAAAAGAUUCUGAGAAGACUAAAGCACAAAAUGAAGACAAAAGGAAACACAAAGAAACUGUUUGUGGUACGUCAAGUAAAGAAGAUCUGAUUGAAGUUGAUCCUUUACAAGAUGCUGCUCCCAGAAAUGAUGCAAUUCCAGAAGUACCAGUUAACAAAACGAAAGAAGGUAUGGUACGUCCAAGCUUGGGAGAUGAAGAUGAUGAACUGGAGCCCUUUGAUAUCUCUGUCAUAGAGAAUGUGCCUCUACAGCUGAAUCCUGUACAAAACAAGUGCGUGAAUAGCUCUCCAGGUGUAAAGUUCUUCAAGGUAUGUGAAUAUUGUGGCCGGGCAUUCAAUAAGAAAGCAGCUUAUAUUCAGCACCGCAAUUCACACAGACCUGUGCAGCAGUGUAAAAAAUGUAAUUUUAAGACAAAAGAUGUUAAGAGGUUUAAGGAGCAUGUGGAUUCACAUGAAGAAAAUAAAAGAGAAGUCCAAUGCAACAUGUGUCCAAUGCAGUUUUCCACUAUCCUAAGUCGAAGAAACCACAAAAAGAAUGUGCACAAUGUGUAUGAGUGUAAUCACUGCUCAAUUGACUAUAUAUCAGAAAGUAAGUUAAAUGAGCAUAUCAAUGAUAGCCAUUUGCCAAGAAAGGGAGUGUAUGUUGCUAUAGAGAAUGUAGAAAAUGGAGAAUCGUCAUCAAUAGUCUCUCAGGAGUCCUUCUCAUCUUCUAGUCCCAAAAAGUUUUUGGUUUGUCGCCUGUGUAAUAAGGAAACACGAAAUAAAUAUCAGUUGAAGAUACAUCUUGCCCAACAUUUAGGAGUGUCAAGCAGCACAAUUACAGAUGACAAUUUGCUCUUAGAAGAUGUCGAACAAUUUGCUUGGGAUGAAGAUAAUGAAGUUCAUAACCAUAGUGAAAAUAAUGCUGUCUACAGGAAUUCAGAGUCAGAAGGAGCAGGUAAUGAUUCAGUAUUGUCUUCAGAAGUACAUAAAGAAGUUAGAUUGCGAGAUAGUGACCUUGAUAGCAUUCAGCUGCAAGGAAAUUUGAUUGUAAAGGAAGAACCAAUAGAAAUAGAUCUAGUUGAGAAACAACAUGACAUAGAACCCACAAGAUACCAAGCACCUAUAAUUUUUCCGAGAAGGGUAGGAAGACCCAUGCUUAUGUUGACUUGUGACCAUUGCAGUGAUACAUUCAAAUCUCCCAAAGCCCUAAGAAACCAUCAGAAGCUAAAACACAAAAGACUAGUUAAAUGCCCAGCAUGCAACAUAACCAGAGUCAACACAAAGAAAAUGUUAGCUCAUCAGAAGACAGCCCAUAAAAACAAAUUCAGGUGUCAUUUUCACUGUUUGGCGCUCUUUGAUACAAGAAAAGAGUUAUCAUCCCAUCAUUUAAAAAUACACAAGAAGGAUGAUUCAAAGUUAGUGUGCAGAUAUUGUAGGCAAAAUUACCCAAGGGGAACUUACAUGAACCACCUAAAGCACUGUGAGGAGGACCCUCUGAUGAGAAGAGCACCCUGUAUUUGCAGUCUUUGUGAAGCCUCGUUUAGUUCUGCUGAUGAAUUAGCACGCCAUGCAAAAUGCUGUGGUGCUGAGAAUCCAGAGCCUGAAAGCAGCAAACCGGUUGGGAAUGAAAUUGUAGAUGUAAGCACAGAUGAGGCUGAAGAUAAUGUUUCCAAAAGUAAAGAAGAAAAAAAUGUUUCAAAUAAAAGCAAACCAGUUGAGAAGGAAGAUGUAUAUUUAAACACAGAUGUGAGUGAAGAUAACAUUCCCCUAAGCAAAAAAGAAACUGUUUCAAGGAAAAGUCUACAAUCUUCUAUUUUGAAGGAGAAGGUAGUUAUUGAUUGUACAUCUCAGGCACAAGGUAAUGUAAUAAUAGAAAAAGUAAAAGAGGCAGCACAAGAUAAAGUAGGACCUCAGAGAUGCAAAUAUUGUUCAAAAACAUUUGAUACAGUAGAUGAUGGCAUUAAUCAUGUAUUAUGUUCUCACAGAGUCUUGAUUUCCAACAUCACAAAGGAACCAAGAAUGUGUCACCUUUGUGGGAAAAAUUUCCUUUCAGGUUUAGCACUCUGUAAGCACAUUCUCAAGCACUACAGUGAUACUGGCUUAUGGGAUUCACUCGUCCCUCCAGAUCUGAACAUGGAGACAGUAAGGAGCAUCUGUUGGAUAUGUAAAACCAAGGGUAUGGUGAAUCACAGGUAUCAUGCUACACGUAGGGAUAAUUUUAUUGAAAAACUGUUAACCACACGAUAUAUAGAACCAGAUAGUAAUGAUAUAUAUCACUGUUCUGCUUGUGAUGAAGGUUUUCAAAGCAGAUUUGCUUUUUGGAAGCACAUCAAACUCCACAUGUCAAAAGCCUUUUUCAAGAAUGCUGAAGGUGGUAAACGUUUUAAGUGCACAAGAUGCCCAUUAAAGUUCUUGAAGAAGUCUCAGCUCUAUGGACACAUUGCAACUCAUCUCCUUGAUCCACACAUUACUCAGGGUGAAGAAGACUGUGUGGAUGAGGGUGGCGAUGAGAGAUGCGAACUCGAUGAGGUGAGUUAUAGAACACUAGGAGGGGCCAAAAACUCACUCGCUCAAAACAAGUUAAUGGUUAAACAUGCUAUAUUGGCUGGUAAACUAUCAUCAUCUCAGGUUCCCCAAAAGUGCAAACGAUGUCGUAAAAAGUUUAAAUCACUGGAGGAUGCAGUGGAGCAUGUUUUUACCACACAUAAAACGAUCCUCGGAAAUAUGAUGGAUGACACCCAGGCUUGCCAUGUCUGUGACAAGACUUUUAUGAAGCCUAUGAUUUUAUGUAAACACCUUCUAAUUCACUACCGUGAACUAAAUAUGCUGGAUGACCUAGUCCCAAGGGAUUUGUUAAAGAGAACCAAAGAUCGGAGAUAUUGUUGGAUUUGUAAUAAUAUGCUUGGGAGAAAAGCAUCAAGACAUAUCAAUAUGCGUAAUAAUGUAAUUGAAAAAAUUUUGUCAAAUGAGAAUGAAGAACUUAACGAGGAGGAUUUUCCAUGUUCACUCUGUGGCGAUGUGUGUACCACCAGAUAUAAUUUCUGGAAACACAUUGUUCUUCACAUGUACAAAUUUCCCAAAAAGUUCAAGAAGGUUAGUGAGUCUUCAUCACCCAAUAGUCUAGAAGCUUCAAAGGAAUUGCGAUGUAGUGACUGCUCUCUUAAAUUUAAUGAAAAAACAGCUUUGAAUAAACAUUUAGCUACUCACUUUCUACUGCCUUACACUGGACAGGAAAUAGAGGAAGAAAAGACUAUUCCUGAUAAGAAGGAAGUUAUUCUUGAGAACAAGGAUGCAAUUCCUUGUAUAGAAGAGAUUAUUCCUGAUAAAACAGACGAGCCAGCAUGCAAAGAAAGUAAUCCAAGUGAGAAAAAUCAAGCAAGUAACAAUACCAUUAGACUCAGAAAUAAAGCCCCAAAGCUUGGAGAUAGCUCUGAUUCUUCUCAGCAAUGUACUUGUUGUUCAGAGAUAUUCCAGAAUACGGAUGAAGCUGUCACACAUGUCAUAUCUUUGCACAAGUCGGAUAUAAAUCAAACGAUCUGUCAACCUUUUAAGUGCCAUAUGUGUGGCACUGUAUUUAAGAGCACAUGGUGCUUGUGUAAGCACUUAUCAAAGCACUACAGUAAUCUAGGUAUGUGGGAUGCUCUGGUACCUCAUGAUCUUUUAGACAGCUAUGACCUAAGAAACCAGUGCUGGAUAUGUAAGGGCCAGCUAGAGAAGAACUAUACAGAUCACAUAAAUAAGAGAAAUGUAGUAAUUGAAAAACUGUUGUUAACAAAAAUGAAUCAAAGUGAGGAUAGCGAAGAUUUCAAAUGUUCUUUGUGUAACGGAUUUUAUAAAGGCAGAUUAACUUUUUGGAGACACAUUCAACUUCAUUUGUCCAAAGCUCCAAUCAAAGUAAGAGGAAAAAGGGUUGUAAAGCCACCACUUAAUAUAAUUGAUUAUGAGAAUCAACAAUUUAGCUGUAAUGAAUGUUCACUGUACUUCCUAGAUGAACGGGAACUGUAUGAACACCUGGCAACUCAUUUCAUAUGUAAGUAUGAAGAAAUGAAGGCAAUUCAGAAUGUCAGUGAAGAUUCUCAGUCCAACCUCAGUUUUGUGGAGGAACUUGAACCAUUAGUCCAAAUUGAAUUACCAGCCAAAAGAAAGUUAGGGGAAGGAGAGGGUCACAAGUUAGAUGCGGAGAGUAGCAGGGUAGGGGACAGUAACCAACGAAAAAAGCGGAAGAUCUUUAAGACUGGAGGAGAUGAAGAAAAUGAAGAGCAAGAGAACACAGAAUGGGAAAUUGAAGAGGAUACAGACAUAGAAGAAUCUGAGAGUGAAUGUGACGUAGAGUCCAUGGAUGAAAUAGAAACUGAUGAUGAGGUUGGUGAGGAAACAGAUGAAUAAUUGAGGACAAAGAGUACAUAUAGAAAAUUUGUUGACUGAAUCUUUUAUGUAUGUAAAUAUAUGUAGUUAUACAAUUUUAAAUUAUGAAACUGAAAUUUAAGGUGAUUUGACAGGGAACUGAAACUGAGCAGCAUAAAUUAAGUGUGUAUGAUACUGAAGAAGUAAAGUUUAUGUGUGUAUUAAAACAUACACAGCCACACCACAUAUUGACCUGCACAUAUUAUGACACAGACAGAUACACAUAAACAUAGUAGACACGUGUUCACAGAUGGACACACUCAUAUACUGAUGUACCCAGAGAACGACACCAACACAAAAACACACAGACACACAAAGGUAUGUGUGUAUUCAUAUAUGUAUAUAUGAACUGAUACACACAGACAUGACUUUGCAGAAAUUGUGAUUGUUAUAAAGAAGAAAAAAAAUGUAGGAGUAGUAUAUCGAGAUCUGUGAUGAUCAUAUAAUUCUUAAAGUUAUCAUAUGAAUACACCUUGUUUUGUAUUUUCUAAAGUUAGAGUGUAGGAGACUUUUCAUCUGAUCAGAGUAGGCAGAAAGGGCAGACGACAGAAUUGAUGCAUGUAAAAUGGAUUGUUUGUUGCGUGUGGUAUGAGACUAGAGAAUAACCUGACGCUUCUAAAACAACUAUAUUUGGUCUUUCAGAAGAUGUCUUUAGGUUGUAUCAAUCAGAGGGAUGCUAGGGCAUGGAAACUAUUGAUUCCUUCUACAAUGCAGGUGAUAUGAUUUGUUUAGUUUGUCGUCUUAGAGGACAGUUGAUGGCAUUUCCUUUAGGUACCAUUAUAUGCCGAUAUCUUUUUUUUUACUUUUUGACUUCACUGAUACCAGGAGUUCCUGUUUUAUGUUUUUAUGUUAUUGUAUCAUUAUUAUUCUUUUUACACAGAUAGCUCCCCAAAUUAUUAGUCUCCAAGAAAUAUUUUUUUUGGAAAAAGGGGUUUAUUUUUAUUUCUAAUAUGUUGAUAACCAUUAUAAUAGUUGGAAAUUCCCUUUUCUUUCUCUCUUGCCAAAAAUCAAGGAAUGAUGUAAAUAGGUGAGCUCAGGAAAGGUGAGUAACUGACCCUUCGGUGAAAAAGGGCUUAUGUGUAAAAAUAAGGAAUGAUAAGACAAAACCAAAUUGGACAGUGGAUGUACCCAGCAUAUUCUUUACCACAAGUGGGAAAUAAUCCUUGUGGCAAAGUGCAAAAUAGGGAUACAUAUUGCAUACUGCCCA
rnacentral:misc_RNA from 1 species